UAUUUCUUCCUUUCGUUCUUCGGUCGACUGUGUCUCCCCCUCUUUGCCCUAACCUCCGAUUGCUCCGAUUGUUUGCUUCUUCAAGCUUAUACGAGUUUCCUAGAGCUUUCUCGAGCUUCCUCGAGCUUUUUCGAGCUUUGCCUGCCGCCUGGGAGUCGGCUUCUUCGAGCUUCCUCGAGUUCUUGGUUCUUUUUGGUGCAACGACGACAACUCCAUGGAAACAGCUUCUCCCGAUUGCCUUGGAAUCCAAUUCCCACCUCAAGCACUCUUCCUACCUUUAACUCGCGACCAUCAGAUCUAAUGGCAGACCUUCCAACCGAACUGUAGUUUUCAGGUUACGGUCAGCCCACUUCUUGAUUUCUGUUCUUAUCCUGUAUGAAUGACUUGGGUUCUUCCGAAUCUUCAUGUGUUAUUUGUUGUUGAGGCUCUGUGUUUCAGAGGAUUCGAAGAGAACAGUGAUAAGAUGCAAAUUCACACGGAUCGCCGAAGCCGCAAGGUUCCCUAGAUUUUCCCGAUUCCGAGUUUAGCUCGAGACUCAGACCAUUUAAGUCUCUUCUCAUCUGGAUUGGGGUCUGGGACAGAAUUGACUUGAUAUGAUUUUCAUUUUUGUGGGGACAGGCCAGAGAGUAUAAUACAUACAUACAUACGCGCGCGCGCGCACAUAUAUAUAUAUAUAUAUAUGUUAUUUGUUUAAUUACAAGUAGAAUAUUGCAAUUCA